GCCCCGUUAGCUCAGUUGGUCAGAGCACCCGACUCAUAAUCGGCUGGUCGUGGGUUCAAGCCCCACACGGGGCACCG
rnacentral:tRNA from 1 species